rnacentral:lncRNA from 1 species
CGCGCCUACGGUCCCCAAGCAGUAGGUGCAAAAAUACCAGAAGCUCUAUGGACCUCAACCAAAAACACCAACGCAUCACAACGCCUCAUUCAAACUUGCUCCAAUCAUCAAAACACCUCAAACAACACCUAAAUCAUCAAAUUCAAUCCUAACUUCUUAUUAAACUGCCGAAACACGCAUUCGAUCAAAAACCCAACCAAAUCACUUCUGAAUAACCUGAAAUUUAGCAAACACAUCCCAAAUCCCCCUAAUGAAGCUACUGCAACUCUCAGAAUUCCAUUCCGACCCUCGAAUAAAAAUCUUACGUACCAACCGAAAAUUGCCAAAUACUAACUUCGCCAAUUCAAGCCUAAUCCUACACCGGACCUCCAAAACCACAUCUGAUACCACUCCUAAGUCACAAAUCAUCUCCCGAAGCUAAACCAACAACUGGAAAUCACAUCUGAGACCUCUAACUCAUAAGUCAACAUCCGGUUGACUUUUCCAAACCAAACCUUCCUUAAUGAGACUAAGUGUCUCAUUUCUUACCAAAACCAAUCCAAAUCAACUCCAUCUCACCAAAUACUGAUAAUGAAGCAUAAAGAAGCUGAAAAUGGGGAAAAUGGAGCAGUGACUCAUUAGUUGACGGACCGGCUCGUCACAUCCUUCCCAACUAAAAC